AAUUAUUUGCAGGGGAACUCAUCUUGAGUUGAGAAGGUUAAAACCUGACCCUUUGAACCUGUUAGUUAACACUAACGUAGGGAGCAAUGUACAAUUGCAC
rnacentral:ncRNA from 1 species